GAUGAAGAACGCAGCGAAAUGCGAUAAGUAAUGCGAAUUGCAGAAUUUCCGUGAGUCAUCGAGUCUUUGAACGCACAUUGCGCCCCCUGGUAUUCCGGGGGGCAUGCCUGUCCGAGCGUCAUUGCUGCCCUCAAGCACGGCUUGUGUGUUGGGCCUCCGUCCUCCUCCCGGGGGACGGGCCCGAAAGGCAGCGGCGGCACCGCGUCCGGUCCUCGAGCGUAUGGGGCUUCGUCACCCGCUCUUGUAGGCCCGGCCGGCGCUUGCCGACACAUCAAUCUUUUUUCCAGGUUGACCUCGGAUCAGGUAGGGAUACCCGCUGAACUUAAGCAUAUCAAUAAGCGGAGGA
rnacentral:misc_RNA from 1 species